rnacentral:rRNA from 1 species
GACGAACGCUGGCGGCGUGCUUAACACAUGCAAGUCGAACGGAAAGGCCCUGCUUUUGUGGGGUGCUCGAUUGGCGAACGGGUGAGUAACACGUGAGUAACCUGCCCUUGACUUUGGGAUAACUUCAGGAAACUGGGGCUAAUACCGGAUAGGAGCUCCUGCUGCAUGGUGGGGGUUGGAAAGUUUCGGCGGUUGGGGAUGGACUCGCGGCUUAUCAGCUUGUUGGUGGGGUAGUGGCUUACCAAGGCUUUGACGGGUAGCCGGCCUGAGAGGGUGACCGGCCACAUUGGGACUGCGAUACGGCCCAGACUCCUACGGGAGGCAGCAGUGGGGAAUAUUGCACAACGGGCGGAAGCCUGAUGCAGCAACGCCGCGUGCGGGAUGACGGCCUUCGGGUUGUAAACCGCUUUCGCCUGUGACGAAGCGUGAGUGACGGUAAUGGGUAAAGAAGCACCGGCUAACUACGUG